UACAUGGGGUGCAAACGUUGCUCGGAAUUAUUGGGCGUAAAGCGCGCGUAGGCGGUUACUCAAGUCGGAUGUGAAAGCCCUCGGCUUAACUGAGGAAGUGCACCCGAAACUGAGUAGCUAGAGUACCAAAGAGGGUCGCGGAAUUCCCGGUGUAGAGGUGAAAUUCGUAGAUAUCGGGAGGAACACCGGUGGCGAAGGCGGCGACCUGGGUGGAUACUGACGCUGAGGCGCGAAAGCGUGGGGGAGCAAACAGG
rnacentral:rRNA from 1 species